AUGGGGUUUAGUGUUGCUCAGUACUGCAUUCCUAUACUGAUAUUAACACAAGAUUUUAUAAGUGCUGAGAUCCGACUUGACCAGUCUUCUGCUGAGGUGAAGAAACCUGGAGAAGCUGUGAAGAUCUCCUGUAAAAUUAGUGGGUACAGCAUGACGAGCUACAACAUGGGCUGGAUAAGACAGAAACCAGGACAAGCUCUGGAACUGAUUGGAUUGAUGAGCACUGGCACAAAUUCAGCAACAUAUUCAGAUUCAAUGAAAGACCACUUCAAAAUGACUGAGGACGUUUCUACAAUUACACAGUUCUUAGAGGCCAAGAGUCUGAGAGCAGAGGACACUGCUGUUUAUUACUGCGCUCGAGAUCCACAGUGA